rnacentral:lncRNA from 10 species
UCUCAUAUGCGCCAAGAACCUCAAAUUUAAAAUUGGGAUUUUUUUUUACUUAAAAAAAAAAUCUGACUACCCUCAAAUAUACAAAUGAUUCUAGUCUUCCCUGAUUUCUAAAAGGUCCUGAUACCAAACAUGAACCUGCAUUUUCAUCCAUCUUUGCAACCAGUAUUGAUAGAGUGGCUACUGUGACUUGCACUAAGCUGGGUGGGCAUGCUUUAGGCACCCAGGGAAGCAAGGCAUGGUCUCUCACCUCAAGGAGCCCACCCACUUCCAGGAGAAACAGGUCUGUCCACUUGAAACUGCCCUGGUGUGAUGCAUGGCUUGCUGGAGGCAUGGAGAAGUGGGAAAAUUCUAAGGUGAUUCGAGUUGGGACCUACUCAGAGAAUGGUUCAUAUAAGGAAGAAUAAGUACCCCGAUAUGGGUGGAUAAUUUCUCACAAGAGACAUGACUUGAGCAAAGAUACACAAACAUAAAAAGUAGCUUUGCCACUUCAUUCUUGGGCCCACGCUGAAGAACCAGUCUUUUUCUGAAACAUUGCUAAGAAUGUGGCAGAAGGAAGAGAUAUGGCAGAACUUCAUCAUGGCCCUGACAAACUCUGCUCUGAAAACCUUCAUGAUGGUGCUGAAAACUGACUCCCCCUGAGAGUUCCUUGGCUAAAUGAGUCACUUGGCCAAGCCUGACAUCCUCAGAGUGGGAAAACAAUCUUCCCAAAAUAAGGGCACCAUAAAUUACAUA